AGCCCGGUGGUGUAGUCAGGCCAAGCAUUCCGGCCUUUGGAGCCGGAGACGAGGGUUCGAAUCCUUCCCGGGCUACCA
rnacentral:tRNA from 1 species